rnacentral:rRNA from 1 species
CCCUUAGAUGUUCUGGGCCGCACGCGCGCUACACUGAUGCAUUCAACGAGUCUAAAACCUGCUCUGAUAGGGGUGGGUAAUCUUUUGAAUGUGCAUCGUGAUUGGGAUAGAUGAUUGCAAUUUUUCAUCUUCAACGAGGAAUGCCUGGUAAACGCAAGUCAUCAGCUUGCAUUGAUUACGUCCCUGCCCUUUGUACACACCGCCCGUCGCUCCUACCGAUUGAAUGAUCCGAUGAAUAUCAUGGAUUGAGGAUGCAAGUAGGUUAGCCUAUCUUCAUCUUCGAGAAGUGAAGUAAAUCUUAUCAUUUAGAGGAAGGAGAAGUCGUAACA